rnacentral:rRNA from 1 species
AUUGAACGCUGGCGGCAGGCCUAACACAUGCAAGUCGAACGGUAACAGGAAACAGCUUGCUGUUUCGCUGACGAGUGGCGGACGGGUGAGUAAUGUCUGGGAAACUGCCUGAUGGAGGGGGAUAACUACUGGAAACGGUAGCUAAUACCGCAUAACGUCGCAAGACCAAAGAGGGGGACCCUCGGGCCUCUUGCCAUCGGAUGUGCCCAGAUGGGAUUAGCUUGUUGGUGGGGUAACGGCUCACCAAGGCGACGAUCCCUAGCUGGUCUGAGAGGAUGACCAGCCACACUGGAACUGAGACACGGUCCAGACUCCUACGGGAGGCAGCAGUGGGGAAUAUUGCACGAUGGGCGCAAGCCUGAUGCAGCCAUGCCGCGUGUAUGAAGAAGGCCCUCGGGUUGUAAAGUACUUUCAGCGGGGAGGAAGGGAGUAAAGUUAAUACCUUUGCUCAUUGACGUUACCCGCAGAAGAAGCACCGGCUAACUCCGUG